ACCUGGCUCGCUCAGUUGGUGGAGCAUGUGACUUUUGAUCUCAAGGUUGUGAGUUCGAGACCCACGUUGGGUG
rnacentral:tRNA from 1 species